UACGAAGGGGGCUAGCGUUGUUCGGAAUCACUGGGCGUAAAGCGCACGUAGGCGGAUUUUAAGUCAGGGGUGAAAUCCCGGGGCUCAACCUCGGAACUGCCUUUGAUACUGGAGAUCUUGAGUCCGGAAGAGGUAAGUGGAACUGCGAGUGUAGAGGUGAAAUUCGUAGAUAUUCGCAAGAACACCAGUGGCGAAGGCGGCUUACUGGUCCGGAACUGACGCUGAGGUGCGAAAGCGUGGGGAGCAAACAGG
rnacentral:rRNA from 1 species